GAUGAAGAACGCAGCGAAAUGCGAUAAGUAGUGUGAAUUGCAGAAUUCAGUGAAUCAUCGAAUCUUUGAACGCACAUUGCGCCCCUUGGUAUCCCGAGGGGCAUGCCUGUUCGAGCGUCAUUUCACCACUCAAGCCUGGCUUGGUGUUGGGCGACGUCCCCUUUGGGGACGCGCCUCGAAACGCUCGGCGGCGUGGCACCGGCUUUAAGCGUAGCAGAAUCUUUCGCUUUGGAAGUCGGGGCCCUGUCUGCCGGAAGACCUACUCGCAAGGUUGACCUCGGAUCAGGCAGGGAUACCCGCUGAACUUAAGCAUAUCAAUAAGCGGAGGA
rnacentral:misc_RNA from 1 species